CACGUAGGGGGCAAGCGUUGUCCGGAUUUAUUGGGCGUAAAGAGCUCGUAGGCGGUUCGGUAAGUCGAGUGUGAAACCUCCAGGCUCAACCUGGAGACGCCACCCGAUACUGCUGUGACUAGAGUCCGGUAGGGGAGCGUGGAAUUCCUGGUGUAGCGGUGAAAUGCGCAGAUAUCAGGAGGAACACCAGCGGCGAAGGCGGCGCUCUGGGCCGGAACUGACGCUGAGGAGCGAAAGCGUGGGGAGCAAACAGG
rnacentral:rRNA from 1 species